AGUGGGAUAACUGGGUCAAAUGGUGGUUCCAUUCCAAGAUUUCUGAGGAAUAUCCAUACUUUUUUCCAGAGUGGUUGAACCAAUUUGCAAUCCCAUGAGCAGU
rnacentral:pre_miRNA from 1 species